rnacentral:rRNA from 1 species
UACGUAGGUGGCUAGCGUUGUCCGGAUUUACUGGGCGUAAAGAGCGCGCAGGCGGUCGUUCAAGUCGAGUGUGAAAGCCCCCGGCUCAACUGGGGAGGGUCACUCGAUACUGAUCGACUCGAAGGCAGAAGAGGGAAGCGGAAUUCCCGGUGUAGUGGUGAAGUGCGUAGAUAUCGGGAGGAACACCAGUGGCGAAGGCGGCUUUCUGGUCUGCUCUUGACGCUGAGGCGCGAAAGCUAGGGUAGCAAACGGG